AUUGAACGCUGGCGGCAUGAUUUACACAUGCAAGUCGAACGGUAACAGGCCGCGAGGUGCUGACGAGUGGCGAACGGGUGAGUAAUGCAUCGGAACGUGCCCAGUCGUGGGGGAUAACUACUCGAAAGAGUAGCUAAUACCGCAUACGAUCUAUGGAUGAAAGCGGGGGACCGUAAGGCCUCGCGCGAUUGGAGCGGCCGAUGUCAGAUUAGGUAGUUGGUGGGGUAAAGGCUCACCAAGCCAACGAUCUGUAGCUGGUCUGAGAGGACGACCAGCCACACUGGGACUGAGACACGGCCCAGACUCCUACGGGAGGCAGCAGUGGGGAAUUUUGGACAAUGGGCGCAAGCCUGAUCCAGCAAUGCCGCGUGCAGGAAGAAGGCCUUCGGGUUGUAAACUGCUUUUGUACGGAACGAAACGGCUCUGGUUAAUACCCGGGGCUAAUGACGGUACCGUAAGAAUAAGCACCGGCUAACUACGUG
rnacentral:rRNA from 1 species